ACUCAAAUGAAUUGACGGGGGCCCGCACAAGCGGUGGAGCAUGUGGUUUAAUUCGAUGCAACGCGAAGAACCUUACCAGGGUUUGACAUGGACAGGAAGACUGGCAGAAAUGUCGUCGCCCGCAAGGGUCUGUUCACAGGUGCUGCAUGGCUGUCGUCAGCUCGUGUCGUGAGAUGUUGGGUUAAGUCCCGCAACGAGCGCAACCCUUGUCUUUAGUUGCCAGCAUUUAGUUGGGCACUCUAGAGAGACUGCCGACGUUAAGUCGGAGGAAGGUGGGGAUGACGUCAAGUCCUCAUGGCCCUUAUAUCCUGGGCUACACACGUGCUACAAUGGUGGUCACAGAGGGAAGCUAACUCGCGAGAGCACGCCAAUCCCUUAAAAGCCAUCUAAGUUCAGAUUGCAGUCUGCAACUCGACUGCAUGAAGUUGGAAUCGCUAGUAAUCGCGGAUCAGAACGCCGCGGUGAAUACGUUCCCGGGCCUUGUACACACCGCCCGU
rnacentral:rRNA from 1 species